rnacentral:rRNA from 1 species
UGAACGCUGGCGGCGUGCUUAACACAUGCAAGUCGAACGAGAAAGUCCUUCGGGAUGAGUACAGUGGCGAACGGGUGAGUAACGCGUGAGAAUCUGCCAAUCAGUGAAGAAUACCCUCGAGAAAUCGAGGCUAAUACUGCAUACGUCCCUUCGGGGAGAAAGGUGGCCUCUUGCUACCGCUGAUUGAUGAGCUCGCGUACUAUUAGCUUGUUGGUGAGGUAAAGGCUCACCAAGGCUGUGAUGGUUAACCGGCCUGAGAGGGUGACCGGUCACAUUGGGACUGAGAUACGGCCCAGACUCCUACGGGAGGCAGCAGUGGGGAAUUUUGCACAAUGGGCGAAAGCCUGAUGCAGCGACGCCGCGUGGAGGAUGAAGGUUUUCGGAUCGUAAACUCCUGUUAAGUGGGAAGAAAGACUCGCGAUUAAUACUCGCGGGGGAUGACGGUACCACUAGAGAAAGCUCCGGCUAACUUC